AUAGCUAGCUAAAAUGGCUUCCAAGUCUCUGGCCUUCGUGUGCGUCAUCUUCGCCUUCCUCGUCAUCGUCUCGCAAGGCGUGGUUGCUGCUAGGGAUCUCACCCAUGUUAACAGAGCAGGUAGCAGCUACCGUGGUGGCUGGUCGGGCUCGCUCUUCGUAAGAAUCUGACAAAAUAAAUGCAGUUUCGGUUCGCAUUUGCAGAUCAUUCGUGUGUAUGGUAUACAAUUUCUGUAUGCAAGCAAGCUAGGUAGACACCCCUGGAAUGGUUUACGAGGGACUGGUAUAUAUGUGCCCUGUGUAUUCAAUAUGAAUUUGUAUCAAAUGUAUUGACCGUUCUAGUGCUUAAGGAUCAUUUUUCGACAAAGGGGCCCGUGCCUUCACUCCAA